UAGGGAAUCUUCGGCAAUGGACGAAAGUCUGACCGAGCAACGCCGCGUGAGUGAAGAAGGUUUUCGGAUCGUAAAACUCUGUUGGUAGAGAAGAACGUUGGUGAGAGUGGAAAGCUCAUCAAGUGACGGUAACUACCCAGAAAGGGACGGCUAACUACGUGCCAGCAGCCGCGGUAAUACGUAGGUCCCGAGCGUUGUCCGGAUUUAUUGGGCGUAAAGCGAGCGCAGGUGGUUUAUUAAGUCUGGUGUAAAAGGCAGUGGCUCAACCAUUGUAUGCAUUGGAAACUGGUAGACUUGAGUGCAGGAGAGGAGAGUGGAAUUCCAUGUGUAGCGGUGAAAUGCGUAGAUAUAUGGAGGAACACCGGUGGCGAAAGCGGCUCUCUGGCCUGUAACUGACACUGAGGCUCGAAAGCGUGGGGAGCAAACAGGAUUAGAUACCCUGGUAGUCCACGCCGUA
rnacentral:rRNA from 1 species